CUUCAUUUUUAAUGUAAAUUACAAAAUAAUUAAUUUUUAUAAUUCACUGAGUUAACUAUUUCAUAUAGAAUCGAUUAUUAUUUUUUGUUUGUUUGUUCUGUUGGCCACUUUGAUUGAGUUAAAUAGUUCAUAGAGAAUAAUGUAAAUUUUAUUCUUUACUCCUUUAUAGAGAAAGAUUGCCACUCUGUUAAUUGUUAUUGAUUUUAAUUUGUUAAUGGUUAAUUAUUAGUGCUGCUGCCAAGAAUCGCGAGUUAACUUGCAAAAUCAUACGUUUUUGCGAUUCUAUUCCUCUAUUUCAUAACGUUCUUGCUUUGCGUCUCAGAGAAGUAGUGUCUGCGUAGAAUUGAUGAGUAAGCACGCCAAAUCGUCAUAAUCGCGUCUACGGUGGUGACCGAUAUCCAAGGUAGCAGGGUGGCAAGAAGUUGCUGUCCAUGGCUCAAUUCAAAACCCAACUCAAAUCCUAGCCCCAAUCCUUUGAGAAGAAGGCUUGAACCCUAGGUUUAUGUGAGUAUGGUUGGACUGCAAACAUGAAGAGGAUUAUGAAGGCUCAUGUCUUGAGAGAUAGCGGCGUGACUGGCUACAUAUCUAG